CUGAAUCGUCUCUGAACUUUCAGAAUGUUUUGAAUUGUUUUAAUAUUGAGAACAUUCUAUUUGAUCAUUUUCAAACAUUAAGGGAAUGUUACUUUUGAAAGUUCUCUGAACGUUCUGAAACAAGCAGUUACACUUAAAAAACAUGAACAUCCAUCUAAAAAGUUUCAGAAAAACAUUCCAUCAGCAAUGUAUAAAUGUUUUUGUGCUAAAGUUUUGAGAACAUCAUUAAAGACCAGAUACCAUAACUUUUUUUCUAGCCAAGCCCCGCCCACUAGACUGUCUGAUUGACGGCUGUUCUUCAGAAUAAACUACAUCAUCAUAACUUUAUGCAAGGACUGGUAUGUGCUCAGUAAUAUAACUGAUAAUGAAAGUGUUUACAAUUCUUGAAUACAGGCAAAUGAACAUUGAGUGUACAUGCAUAGUUAUUCUUAAUCUGAUAACCAUCAAAUAUAGAUUUUAAAAACCAGACCGUGCCAAAAAAAAAGUUUAUUAUCAGGUUGUGUACAUGCACUGAGAUAAUCAGCAAAUAUAUUAAAUCUAGGUGUGACUUGCACUGUUGGCAUGACCUGACGUGUUGAGUUAAUAGGCAUAAUCAGUGUACAAUAAAUGCAUUUUUUUCCCAAGUAGUUUAAGGCUGAGUAAUUUAUAAUGUCUGGAAAGUAUGAGCUAAAACUAAAAAAAGCCUUGAUAUUGUUACGACAUUUAUAAGGGUGAGUGCACAUUACAAAAUGAAAUUUAAUGGGCAAAACUGGUUUCUAGUGAUUCAUUCUCUGAAAGCAGGCUUGUUCCAUAAAUGCAUGUGAAACCAAAAGUGUGAGAAGAGACCACACCACCCACACUUCAUUUACAUAGAGCUGUAGAUGUCAUCACACACACACCUGCCAGCUCAACCUGGGUGAUGUUAGAUGAAGCUAACCACGGAAAUCUUGGCCUUAGCUAAGCUGACUAUUAAGAGGCCUUAUUUUGGCUGCACAACCCCCUUUUUUUUCUCAGACGUGUAUUUCCUGUACAAGUCAGUCAACCUCAAUUCUAACAUUUAAAUGCGAGUUUUUCAGAGUGGAUGCUAUGCUGUAUGUGCAAAUGACAGGGGAUUUUAACAGGAAACCACAUCUCUUCUCAUCUGGCAAUGACAGCAUGCUUUUCAUGAGCUACGGCAAAGACAACAUUAGAGCGUCUGUUUUGCCUUUUUAAAAAGAAAAGCUUUUAGUUUUCAUUUGAAUGCCUUACGCUAUUGAUCGAUGAAAGGGUACGUUCAUGAAAGCUGUGCUGUUACUUUGUAACCAGACUUCGGAAUGUUUGCUUGUAACAUUCUUAACAGCUGCUUAGCAACACCCUAGCAACGGCUUAAAAAUGUUUAGUAUUCUGUUUUUAUUUUGCAUUGAACUCUCCUAACUGGCAUAAUUACCGGACUAGACCAGCCUUUUUUUACUUCAUCAUGCUUUUUUUUUAUUACUGUUGCACAUGUGGCACAUGUGGCACAUCUGGCGCUCUGCCUGAAUCAUUACUUACUUUUUAUGUUCCGCUCGCCGUCGCCAUGGAAACUGCUGCAUGUUUGGCAGCGAGCCUUUGAAGGAGAGCGAGAGCGGCCGCGCGCAACAGAGAGGAUUGCGAGCUCUCAGGAAUUGGCCUAUAUCCAGUGUAAUCAUGGCGGGGAGCUGAAAUGAGGCGUUUGGCAGCACACCAGGUUUCAGAGAACAAAGAUGUGAGCCACUAAUGUUGGCUGCAGAGCCUGCUUGGCAUCCUUUACCAUUUCCCAGCAGCCCCUGCCACGGCUGCCUGCCAAGCCGCCCUCCCCUCCCCUGCUGGGACUGCAAAGAGGAUCUGAAUAAAGAAAGAGAGUUGUUUUUCUCCAGCUCCUCUGCUCCGAUGACAUCACCUCUGCAGCCUCCAGCCCCCAGAUUCCAGACGCCCAGCACAUUUCUUCUGCUUCUCUUUCUUCUCUCUCAGGCCCUCCAUUUUGACUAAAUUCCUCCAUUUUAUAAUUGCUCUACCUCCUCAGUGUCACCAAAUAUUUGCUGUUUGCUCCGACAAAGUGAGAACGCUCCAAUGAGUAUAUUUUUGUCAGUAUAUAAUGUACAUAGUUCAUAACAACCAGAUGAAUAUAUGCCUGUUUUGAAAAUAUCCAGAAAUUAAUAGUUUCAGUAAAUCAGUUUUGAUUAUAUAUAGUUGUGUGUGUGUGUGUGUGUGUGUGUGUGUGUGUGUGUAUACACACACAUGUACAUCUAUAAUAUAUACAUAUAAUUUGUGUAAUCAUUUAUCAAAGUAAAUGUCAUCAGAUGUAACAAUCAUAAAUUAUGAAUUUAUUAGUCAUUUAAA
ensembl:lncRNA